GGGAUUGUGGCUCAGUGGUAGAGCUCUUGCCUAGCACGUGUGAGGGCCUGGGUUCGAUCCUCAGCACCA
rnacentral:tRNA from 1 species